UACGAAGGGGGCUAGCGUUGCUCGGAAUCACUGGGCGUAAAGCGCACGUAGGCGGCUUUCUAAGUCAGGGGUGAAAUCCUGGAGCUCAACUCCAGAACUGCCUUUGAUACUGGGAAGCUUGAGUCCGGAAGAGGUGAGUGGAACUGCGAGUGUAGAGGUGAAAUUCGUAGAUAUUCGCAAGAACACCAGUGGCGAAGGCGGCUCACUGGUCCGGUACUGACGCUGAGGCGCGAAAGCGUGGGGAGCAAACAGGG
rnacentral:rRNA from 1 species